rnacentral:rRNA from 1 species
GAGUUUGAUCGUGGCUCAGAUUGAACGCUGGCGGCAGGCCUAACACAUGCAAGUCGAGCGGAUGAAGGGAGCUUGCUCCUGGAUUCAGCGGCGGACGGGUGAGUAAUGCCUAGGAAUCUGCCUGGUAGUGGGGGAUAACGUCCGGAAACGGGCGCUAAUACCGCAUACGUCCUGAGGGAGAAAGUGGGGGAUCUUCGGACCUCACGCUAUCAGAUGAGCCUAGGUCGGAUUAGCUAGUUGGUGGGGUAAAGGCCUACCAAGGCGACGAUCCGUAACUGGCCUGAGAGGAUGAUCAGUCACACUGGAACUGAGACACGGUCCAGACUCCUACGGGAGGCAGCAGUGGGGAAUAUUGGACAAUGGGCGAAAGCCUGAUCCAGCCAUGCCGCGUGUGUGAAGAAGGUCUUCGGAUUGUAAAGCACUUUAAGUUGGGAGGAAGGGCAGUAAGUUAAUACCUUGCUGUUUUGACGUUACCAACAGAAUAAGCACCGGCUAACUUCGUGCCAGCAGCCGCGGU